AGAGGGAGAGAGAUGUUUGAUUAUAUGAAUUCAUUAAAGACAAACUGAUGAAAAACAUGCUGCUGCUGCUGCUUCUGGUAAAUCCAAACAAAAACGCUGCAGAGAGUCAACAACUGCUCCGAAUGCAGCCCACACUGACCCUCUCCCCCUCUCCCCCUCCCUAACAACCCCCCCCCGGUGGCUUUAUGAAAGCAAACAGCGCUGCUCAGGGUCAAGUGGUGCUUUUAUCCCUGCAGCGUUUUCCCAUGGACUCACCACCUCCCUCUGUCUCUCAGACACACACACACACACACUGACGUGCUGACGAACCAAACAGACUUCAGUAAACGAGUGACUGACAAGUCGCCUCACGUCAUCUGUCGAAAGUUGUACUUGAACGCAUCAUAAACACGAUGGACGGCUGAAUAACAACCUGUAUUUUGGGUUCGUGCUGCAAAGAUCAUCACAGAGAAGUCUGUGUGUCGUCCCAGUGGCCCACUGGUCUGAGACACACUGGACUGAAGUAUGUUUCAGGCAGCUUUGGCGCAGCAGGUAGAGCUGAUGGUCAGACUUGUGUGAAUGAGACGGUGCAGAACUGUAGGAAAACUGAGUGGACACUGGGGACUUAAAAAUCAUUUGGCAGCAGACAUGUUCAGGUUACCUUUCCCCCCUGUCGCCUGCAGCACCUUCAGAUGGUCCACAGUCAUCUGCAGGAUCUCUGCUUUCUCCAGCUUAGCUGAGCCCUGAUGGAGCAAACCAACAGUUACAGAUGGAUUCAUGUUGCAGAGGAUCGACUGUGGUCUUAUGUGUGAGCUGGAUUGACUUCACCCAAUCUGCUACUUUCAAGUCAUGAACCUUCGUGGCGUUUCCCCAGAAUCAGAUUCUCACCUGCUUCUCGAACGCAGUGGGGACGAGCCUCCGUAACUCCGACAGACUGUUGUUG